GUGCUGAGGAAGAAAAGCUCAUCUAGAGCCAAAUACAUACCAGAAUCCUUGUAGGACCCAAAGAUAGUUGUCAGAUGACGCAGGUAAAAGGCAUAGGAAAGGUGUGGAAUUGAUCGCAGUGCACAGCCAGACCUUAGUACAAAAACCUCCACAAUAAGGAGCUGCCUACAAGGGAGCGAGUACAUGAACUGCCUGCCCACACUCACAGCCAUGUCAGACAGUCCCUGGAAAGCUAUUCCUCCCUGUCCGUGAAGCAGGACUGAGCUCAAGCUGUUUCUCUCGCUGUUCCAAGGCUGAAAUUAUUGCAUAUUACAUCACCGUUUGGCAGGAAUGCAAUACAUCUUUGUGUCUCCUUAUGAAACACCACCAU